GAUGAACGCUGGCGGCGUGCCUAAUACAUGCAAGUCGAGCGAACAGACGAGGAGCUUGCUCCUCUGACGUUAGCGGCGGACGGGUGAGUAACACGUGGAUAACCUACCUAUAAGACUGGGAUAACUUCGGGAAACCGGAGCUAAUACCGGAUAAUAUAUUGAACCGCAUGGUUCAAUAGUGAAAGACGGUUUUGCUGUCACUUAUAGAUGGAUCCGCGCCGCAUUAGCUAGUUGGUAAGGUAACGGCUUACCAAGGCGACGAUGCGUAGCCGACCUGAGAGGACGACGAGCCACAGUGGGAGUGAGACACGGCGCAGACGACGACGGGAGGCAGCAGGGGGGAAUGUUGGACAAUGGGGGCAACACUGAUAAAGCUAUGACGCGUGAGGGAAGAAGGCCUUAGGGUUGUAAACAGCUUUUGCUCGGGAAGAAAAAAGCUGGGCUAAUAAACAGGGGGGAUGAAGGUAACGGAAGAAUAAGCAACGGAUAACUACGUG
rnacentral:rRNA from 1 species